UAGUUCCCUGACCAGGGAUGGAACCCUUGGCGUCUGAACCACUGGACCGCAGGGGAAAUCCCAGGAGAAUUUGGGAGGGGCAGAAGAAGGAGGAGAAGACCGAUCUACCAGAGUCCUUCUCGCUGGAAUCCAUCUUGGCUGAGAGACGCACGCACCACCAGGAAGGACCCUGAAUCAGACUGUGGGCCAAGCGAGACGACUGGCCAGAGACAACCCAGAAACUAACCCAUUACCACAAAACCUGAGCCUGCGAGGCACGUGGCAGAGCGGUUCUCCUGGGUUCCCCCAGGCUCUCUGCCUUGGGGUUCCUUCCCAAUAAAGUCUUUUGCUUUGUCAGUA